AAGAUUAUAAAAAUAGAGCUGCUAACUCUAUAAUAAUGUUCACAUUUAAUCUUU
rnacentral:tRNA from 1 species